rnacentral:piRNA from 1 species
UUGAUUGACAGACAGCUUAACCACGGAUGG